rnacentral:Y_RNA from 1 species
GGCCAGUCCAAGUGCAGUGGUGUUUCUAACUAAUUGAUCACAACCAGUUAUGGAUUCCUUUGUUCUUUCUCCAGUCCCACUGCUUCACUUGACUAGCCUUUU